UACGAAGGGGGCUAGCGUUGCUCGGAAUUACUGGGCGUAAAGGGCGCGUAGGCGGCACUGUUAGUCAGGCGUGAAAUUCCUGGGCUCAACCUGGGGACUGCGCUUGAUACGGCAGAGCUUGAGGAUGGAAGAGGGUCGCGGAAUUCCAGGUGUAGCGGUGAAAUGCGUAGAUAUCUGGAGGAACACCGGUGGCGAAGGCGGCAUCUGGACCGGCAUUGACGCUGAGGCGCGAAGCCAGGGAGCAACGGG
rnacentral:rRNA from 1 species